UACGUAGGGGGCAAGCGUUGUCCGGAAUCAUUGGGCGUAAAGCGCGUGUAGGCGGUUCGAUAAGUCUGCUGUGAAAGUCCAGGGCUCAACCCUGGGAUGCCGGUGGAUACUGUCGGACUAGAGUACGGAAGAGGCGAGUGGAAUUCCCGGUGUAGCGGUGAAAUGCGCAGAUAUCGGGAGGAACACCAAUUGCGAAGGCAGCUCGCUGGGACGUCACUGACGCUGAGACACGAAAGCGUGGGGAGCAAACAGG
rnacentral:rRNA from 1 species